UACGAAGGAUGCGAGCGUUAUCCGGAUUUAUUGGGUUUAAAGGGUGCGCAGGCGGGAAAUUAAGUCAGGGGUGAAAUCUGGACGCUCAACGUUCAAAUUGCCUUUGAAACUGGUUUUCUUGAGUGUAGUUGAAGUAGGCGGAAUUCGUUGUGUAGCGGUGAAAUGCAUAGAUAUAACGAGGAACUCCGAUAGCGUAGGCAGCUUACUAAACUACUACUGACGCUCAUGCACGAAAGCGUGGGUAUCAAACAGG
rnacentral:rRNA from 1 species